rnacentral:rRNA from 1 species
UUGUGAGGUUAAGCGACUAAGCGUACACGGUGGAUGCCCUGGCAGUCAGAGGCGAUGAAGGACGUGCUAAUCUGCGAUAAGCGCCGGUAAGGUGAUAUGAACCGUUAUAACCGGCGAUUUCCGAAUGGGGAAACCCAGUGUGACUCGUCACACUAUCAUUAACUGAAUCCAUAGGUUAAUGAGGCGAACCGGGGGAACUGAAACAUCUAAGUACCCCGAGGAAAAGAAAUCAACCGAGAUUCCCCCAGUAGCGGCGAGCGAACGGGGAGGAGCCCAGAGCCUGAAUCAGCAUGUGUGUUAGUGGAAGCGUCUGGAAAGGCGCGCGAUACAGGGUGACAGCCCCGUACACAAAAGCGCAUGUGCUGUGAGCUCGAUGAGUAGGGCGGGACACGUGGUAUCCUGUCUGAAUAUGGGGGGACCAUCCUCCAAGGCUAAAUACUCCUGACUGACCGAUAGUGAACCAGUACCGUGAGGGAAAGGCGAAAAGAACCCCGGCGAGGGGAGUGAAAAAGAACCUGAAACCGUGUACGUACAAGCAGUGGGAGCACAGGUUU